rnacentral:rRNA from 1 species
AGGGUUCGAUCUGGCUCAGGAUGAACGCUAGCUACAGGCUUAACACAUGCAAGUCGAGGGCAGCAUGGAGUAGCAUACUCAGAUGGCGACCGGCGCACGGGUGAGUAACACGUAUCCAACCUGCCGCUUACUCGGGGAUAGCCUUCGAAAGAAAGAUUAAUACCCGAUGGUAUAAAGAGUUCGCAUGUUCUCUUAUUAAAGAAUUUCGGUAAGCGAUGGGGAUGCGUUCCAUUAGAUAGUUGGCGGGGUAACGGCCCACCAAGUCUACGAUGGAUAGGGGGUUCUGAGAGGAAGGUCCCCCACAUUGGAACUGAGACACGGUCCAAACUCCUACGGGAGGCAGCAGUGAGGAAUAUUGGUCAAUGGGCGAGAGUCUGAACCAGCCAGGGUAAGCGUGAAGGAUGACUGCCCUAUGGGUUGUAAACUUCUUUUAUAAGGGAAUAAAGUGAGGGACGUGUCCCUUUUUGUAUGUACCUUAUGAAUAAGGAUCGGCUAACUCCGUGCCAGCAGCCGC